AGUUCUUUACCACAACACCAAGUUCGUGGCUGUAGUCCUUAUACUCGGACGCGUCCCACAUUUGCCUUCAGAUAUUAUUACAAAAAUAAAAGAAAUUAAUUAUUACAGAGAGAUUAACAUCACGAUACACAUAAUCUUACAAAUGCACAAACAAGAAACAUCACAAAUUUACACAGCACAACACACUUAAUCUCCAAAUUUGAUCUCGGUAAAUACGAAUAACGAACUCAAUCGGUAAAGCUUAUUUUAACUGAAAUGUCGUUGAAAUUUGACAGUUCAUUAAAAAUAACUUGUCCAAAAUAACGAAAUUCGGUAAUAUACGUUCAUUACUGAUUUUCGGCAAACUUUUUUGCCACAGCAAUCGGCAAUCAUGUCACUGAAUUUCGGUAAAGCGCAUCUGUCAAAAAUGAAAACGGACACGUUGUCGUCUGGGUGCCAUCUCCAAAAAAAUGGUAGAAGGAUUUUUUUUAAGCAAACAUCGAUGGAAUUUUUAUCUCCUCGUUGGUUUGGAGAAGGAGCGUUGAAGGAGGAAUGUUUUCUGGUGCCUGUUUGGUUGCUGUCGGGACGCUACUUCGAUCGUCAUGAAGCAAGCCGCAUUGUUACCUGCCGGAAACGGUAGCUCCGCGGGAAAUUCGUCACUUCUGAAAGUCCACCGAGUUGCUGAUCCGCAAGUUGCCGCUCCAGUGGUGCGUUAAAUUGCGCAGGAUUUCAAGAUAGAUCUGCGCUUCCUAAGUGCCACCGCUGCUGCCCUGCAGGAAGCCAGCGAAACGUACCUGAUCAGAUUGUUCGAGGACACCAAUCUGUGCGCGACCCACAUCAUGCGCGUCACAAUCAUGCCGAUGGAUAUCCAGCUGGCCCGGCGCAUCCGCGAGCGUGUAUAAGGAGGAUUGGGAGAAAGAGACCUCGGGGGAAGUGUGAAGUUGUAUUUUUACUAUUUUUUUUGUUAUUAAAGAGGCUUCCUGC